AAGGAGUCGUCUUCGUAUGCGAGUGUUCGGGUGUCAAACCCCUACGCGUAAUGAAAGUGAACGUAGGUGAGAGCUCCGGCGCAUCACCGACCGAUCCUGAUGUUCUCGGAUGGAUUUGAGUAAGAGCAUACGGGGCCGGACCCGAAAGAAGGUGAACUAUGCCUGUAUAGGGUGAAGCCAGGGGAAACUCUGGUGGAGGCUCGCAGCGAUUCUGACGUGCAAAUCGAUCGUCAAAUUGGGGUAGAGGGGCGAAACACUAAUCGAACCAUAGAGUAGCUGGUUCCGGC
rnacentral:misc_RNA from 1 species